rnacentral:rRNA from 1 species
AAGAAAGUAAAUAAGGGCGCAUGGCGGAUGCCUUGGCUCUCGGAGGCGAUGAAGGACGUGAUAAGCUGCGAUAAGCUUCGGGUAGGUGCAAAUGACCUUUGAUCCGAAGAUUUCCGAAUGGGACAACCCGGCAUUCUGAAGGAAUGUCAUCCAACUUGGUUGGAGGCUAACGCAGGGAACUGAAACAUCUUAGUACCUGCAGGAAAAGAAAAUAAAUAAUGAUUCCCCUAGUAGUGGCGAGCGAACGGGGAUUAGCCCAAACCACCCAUGUUACGGCAUGUGUGGGGUUGUAGGACCACGCUCUCGCAAGACAGUUAUUGAGAAGAAACGACUGGAAAGUCGUGCCAUAGACGGUGAUAGCCCGGUAUUCUAAGGUAACCGAAGCGUAGUGGUAUCCUGAGUAGCGCGGAGCACGAGGAAUUCUGCGUGAAUCAGCCGGGACCAUCCGGUAAGGCUAAAUACUCCCGAGAGACCGAUAGCGAACCAGUACUGUGAAGGAAAGGUGAAAAGCACUUCGAAUAGAAGAGUGAAAUAGUCCCUGAAACCAUGCGCCUACAAGCGGUCGGAGCAGCUUAAGUUGUGACGGCGUGCCUUUUGCAUAAUGAACCUACGAGUUACUUUUUCCGGCAAGGUUAAGCAUCUUGAGAUGUGGAUCCGAAGCGAAAGCGAGUCUGAACAGGGCGGAUAGUCGGAAGGAGUAGACGCGAAACCAAGUGAUCUACCCUUGGGCAGGUUGAAGGUUAGGUAACACUAACUGGAGGACCGAACCGAUAAGCGUUGAAAAGCUUCCGGAUGACCUGAGGGUGGGGGUGAAAGGCUAAUCAAACUUGGAGAUAGCUCGUACUCCCCGAAAUGCAUUUAGGUGCAGCCUUGAGAGUUACUAAUGUGAGGUAGAGCGACUGAUAAGAUGCGAGGGCUUCACCGCCUAUCAAGUCUUGAUAAACUCCGAAUGCGCAUUAGUUCUAUCUCAGGAGUGAGGGCAUGGGUGCUAAGGUCCAUGUCCUAAAGGAGAAGAAUCCAGACCAUCAGCUAAGGUCCCCAAAUAAACACUAAGUUGAACUAACGAAGUCAGAUUGCUAAGACAGCUAGGAUGUUGGCUUGGAAGCAGCCAUUCAUUUAAAGAGUGCGUAACAGCUCACUAGUCGAGGAGUUUGGCGUGGAUAAUAAUCGGGCAUAAGUGUUUUACCGAAGCUAUGGGAUACGUAAGUAUCGGUAGGGGAGCAUUCCACUCAGCGUUGAAGGCUAAGCGUGAGCUUUACUGGAGCGUGUGGAAAAGCAAAUGUAGGUAUAAGUAACGAUAAAGGGGGUGAGAAACCCCCUCGCCGCAAGACUAAGGUUUCCUGAUCAACGCUAAUCGGAUCAGGGUUAGUCGGGUCCUAAGGCUCAGCCGAACGGUGAGGCCGAUGGCAGAACAGGUUAAUAUUCCUGUACUACCUGUAAGAGUGAUGUGGAGACGGAGGAGUGACAACGCCGCGGACUGACGGAAUAGUCCGUUAAAGGGUGUAGAUGUUGAUUAUCCCAGGCAAAUCCGGGAUAAGAGUCGAACCUGACAGUAUACCAAUUUCCCCGGAAAACGGUAAUAGUGCGUGUAAACAUACUCCCAAGAAAAUCCGCUAAACUUAAUCUUACAGGUACCCGUACCGUAAACGGACACACGUAGUC